CCUACGGGAGGCAGCAGUGAGGAAUAUUGGUCAAUGGCCGCAGGGCUGAACCAGCCAAGUCGCGUGAGGGAUGACGGUCCUCUGGAUUGUAACCCUCUUUUGUCAGGACGAAAAGGGCGCCACGUGUGGCGUUUUGCGAGUACCUGACGAUAAAGCAUCGCCUAACUCCGUGCCAGCAGCCGCGGUAAUCCGGGGGAUACGAGGGUUAUCGGGAUUUAUGGGGGUUAACGGGUGCGCAGGCGGAAGGUAAAGUCAGCGGUAAUAUUUCGGGGCUAAACCUCGUCGUGCCGUUGAAACUGGCGUUCUUGAGUGAGCGAGAGGUAGGCGGAAUGCGUGGUGUAGCGGUGAAAUGCGUAGAUAUCAGGAAGAACUCCGAUUGCGAAGGCAGCAUACUGGCGCGCAACUGACGCUCAUGCACGAAAGCGUGGGUAGCGAACAGGAUUAGAUACCCUAGUAGUC
rnacentral:rRNA from 1 species